rnacentral:rRNA from 1 species
GGAGCAUGUGGCUUAAUUUGACUCAACGCGGGAAAUCUUACCGGGUCCGGACACACUGAGGAUUGACAGGCAAUAUUAGCACUUAGCUUCUUGCAACGUGUUAUGUUAAAUAUGCUAGUCCUUUCAUGAUUAUGUGAUAGGUGGUGCAUGGCCGUUCUUAGUUCGUGGAGUGAUCUGUCUGCUUAAUUGCGUUUCACCAAGGGCCUAUAAUUUUACGUGUGUUGCGGCACUUUGACCCCUCUUUUUUUAAAGAGCGCGUGUCUUGGUUUGCUUAGCUCGCACAAUUAGGUCCUGAAAGCAACGAACGUGACCGCAACCUCUUGUUGCCUUUAUACCAAACGUGCAUAUGCAAUUUUUUAAAUUGCUUUGCGCGCAAAAAGGCUUUUUAAACUAGAGGGACCGCUGUUACUUUCUUAAACCAGAGGAAGGUUGCGGCAAUAA